UGGGGAAUUGUUCGCAAUGGGCGCAAGCCUGACGACGCAACGCCGCGUGGAGGACGAAGAUCUUCGGAUCGUAAACUCCUGUCGAGUGGGACGAACGGCCCCGGACCCAAUACGUCCGGGGAGUGACGGUACCGCGCGAGGAAGCCCCGGCUAACUCCGUGCCAGCAGCCGCGGUAAUACGGGGGGGGCAAGCGUUGUUCGGAAUUACUGGGCGUAAAGGGCUCGUAGGCGGCCAUCUUAGUCGGACGUGAAAUCCCUCGGCUCAACCGGGGAACUGCGUCUGAUACUGGUUGGUUCGAAUCCGGGAGAGGGAUGCGGAAUUCCAGGUGUAGCGGUGAAAUGCGUAGAUAUCUGGAGGAACACCGGUGGCGAAGGCGGCAUCCUGGACCGGUAUUGACGCUGAUGAGCGAAAGCCAGGGGAGCAAACGGG
rnacentral:rRNA from 1 species